ACACAUGCAAGUCGAGGGGAAACGGCAUUAAGUGCUUGCACUUUUUGGACGUCGACCGGCGCACGGGUGAGUAACGCGUAUCCAACCUUCCCAUGACUAAGGGAUAACCUGCCGAAAGGCAGACUAAUACCUUAUGGUCUUCACUGACGGCAUCAGAUGUGAAGUAAAGAUUUAUCGGUUAUGGAUGGGGAUGCGUCUGAUUAGCUUGUUGGCGGGGUAACGGCCCACCAAGGCAACGAUCAGUAGGGGUUCUGAGAGGAAGGUCCCCCACAUCGGAACUGAGACACGGUCCAAACUCCUACGGGAGGCAGCAGUGAGGAAUAUUGGUCAAUGGGCGAGAGCCUGAACCAGCCAAGUAGCGUGCAGGAUGACGGCCCUAUUGGUUGUUAACUGCUUUUGUAUGGGGAUAAAGUCAGUCACGUGUGAUUGUUUGCAGGUACCAUACGAAUAAGGACCGGCUAAUUCCGUGCCAGCAGCCGCGGUAAUACGGAAGGUCCGGGCGUUAUCCGGAUUUAUUGGGUUUAAAGGGAGCGUAGGCUGGAGAUUAAGUGUGUUGUGGAAUGUAGACGCUCAACGUCUGACUUGCAGCGCAUACUGGUUUCCUUGAGUACGCACAACGUUGGCGGAAUUCGUCGUGUAGCGGUGAAAUGCUUAGAUAUGACGAAGAACUCCGAUUGCGAAGGCAGCUGACGGGAGCGCAACUGACGCUGAAGCUCGAAGGUGCGGGUAUCGAACAGGAUUAGAUACCCUGGUAGUCCGCACAGUAAACGAUGGAUGCCCGCCGUUGGUACCUGGUAUCAGCGGCUAAGCGAAAGCAUUAAGCAUCCCACCUGGGGAGUACG
rnacentral:rRNA from 1 species